CAAUAGAUAUCUACAAAUAAUAUUUAUGCAAAUAUUAGAUACAUAUUUAUGCCUCGCAAUAUGCAAUAUACAAAUCAUGCAACUCAUGCAAGUAGAUUAGUUAAUUCUACUCAUUAUUUUUAAUCAUUCUUUACUCUUAGCCAUUCUUUAUCUUACCCAUUCUUUAUCGCUAAUCAUUCUUUUCGAUAUUAGCUAUCCUUUAGCAUUUGUUAUUAUUUAACAUUAGCCAUUUUUUAUUCUUUAUUCUUUAUUCUUU
rnacentral:lncRNA from 1 species